UCGAGAUCUUCCUUCGGCCGCCAUUCGUUCUGAACGCCAUCCUACGGAAAGGAACGGAGGUGGGCGUUUCAUAUUCGAGAAACGCGAUACGAGUAAUCCACGAAUCGGUUCGUGUUCAUAAGAAGCAACAAUCGGACCCAUCCUCAUUUCCAUACCACGGAUGAUAUUUCUUCCCUUAUUCUACGUGCACCAGCAGGCGGAUAUUGCAUAGAACGCGCGAAUCGACGUCUCUGUUUCGUUCGAAGAGGAUUCGAGAUCGUGUUCGAUACGUUGCUUUUUCGAUGCUACUUUUGAAACGUGAUGACGCAUCCCAAUAUUCGAACUGGCUGUGCCACUCAAGCGUUUGGGUUUAUUCAUUUUUCCGUGCAUCGUUUGUUUAUCGUUUCUUUUCACUUAUUUCUACUUAUUCGUUUCUUUCUUCCUUUGCAUGCUUUUUUUUGCACGUGUUUCUCUUUUUUCGUGCUGUUCGAGUUUCUUUUGUUUUUUUACUACAAGAGUGUAUUAUUGUAUAUUGUAAUAUUUGCAUAUAAUGUGUACAGGAAGAUGAAAUUUAACGCAAGAAUUGACAAGUUGAACGUGAAUUUGUACGCUUUUAAUUGAUUGACGAAUUGUUAAAGUUGAAAUAGAAGAUUGUAAAUCAAUAAUAAUAUUUAAUAUCUAAUUGACCAACCUUGAUUCACGAGAUAUAUUGUAUCUCGAACAGUUUUGAUGAUUCAACAAUGAAAUUUAUAGGAUAUUUAUUUAAAAAAAACAUAGAAUCUAAUUAUUUGAUCGAAAGUUCGGAAAAUAUAACUUAUUCACUUUAUAUAAAAUAAACAAUACGUUAAUAAUAUUUUAACUUACUUCAAAACUGUUCAAAAUAUAAUAUAUUUCGUAAAUCAAUAUUGGCCAAUUGAUAUUAGAUAUUAUCAUUUUUGAUUUACAAUACAUAUUCUAACUUUCAAAGUUUAGAUCCUUGACUGUUGGAUUUUCUACGAGAAUGGAAGAGUUUGAUACAGUACAAGUUAUUUCAACUAACAAAUAUGUUUACUUCAAAACUAUUGAUAUUAGAUAUUAUUAUUAUUGAUUUGACAACACUUAUUCUAACUUUCAGAGUUUAGAUCCUUGAUUGUUGGAUUUUCCACGGGAGUUUGAUAUCGUACAAGUGCAAGUAAAUCCUCGGAUGAGUCAAGAAAAUAGGAAGAUAACGAUCCACACGGUGCCAUGAAAUCGCUAUGUAAUCCACCUAUUAAACCUGUUUCCCAACAAUUAAGCUGCGUGCAAUUCGAUGGAUUAAAGAGCUUGAUAAUUAAGUGUUUUCGGCAAAACUCGCGCUCCAUUUGUUCCAUCCGGCAGGGAACGGACCAACCGAGAUAUUAAAUCUCUCUCGUCCCUUUUCUCGAGGAAAGUGAUGAUGAAUUUAAAGAGAAUAAGGGAAUAAUCCAAUGGAAUGAUACCCGCAUUACGUGUGGUCAAACAUGCGCCAGAAAUCGGUUAAAUCCAUUAAGGAGAAUUCUCAGUUUAUCCAUUCUUCUUGUGUGUAAUUCCUUUCCCCCUUUUUUCAAAUUUUUAUCAGAUUUUUUUUUUUUUUUAGAAAAGUUAUGAAUGGUACGAGAUUACAUUUCGUCGGACGUAAGAUGAAAAAAGAGGAAUGAUAAUUUUAGUGAAAAAUGGAGUUUUAAUACAAGCGGAUAUGCAUUCGAUAAUAUUGUAUUUUUUUUCAAUUUUAAAAAUUUUUGGAUAAGAAGAUUUACAAAAGAUUACAAAUCAUGAUCCAUUUUACCAUGGAAAAUACAAAAGAAGAAAAAUAAUUUUAAUAAAAGAUGAAUAUGCAUUUUAUGCAUUUCGUUCUUUUAUUCUUUUUUCUUUCUAAUAAUAAUAUAAAUUUGGUGAAUACUCUUUUCUAUUUUUUUUUCAA